rnacentral:rRNA from 1 species
UACAGAGGGUGCGAGCGUUAAUCGGAAUUACUGGGCGUAAAGCGUGCGUAGACGGUUAUUUAAGUCGGGUGUGAAAGCCCCGGGCUCAACCUGGGAAUUGCAUUCGAGACUGAAUAGCUAGGGUACGGUAGAGGGAAGUGGAAUUUCCGGUGUAGCGGUGAAAUGCGUAGAUAUCGGGAGGAACACCUGUGGCGAAAGCGGCGCACUGGACCACAACUGACGCUGAGGCGCGAAAGCUAGGGGAGCAAACAGG